ensembl:miRNA MIR4737 microRNA 4737
CUGCACAGGAUGCGAGGAUGCUGACAGUGCCUCACAGCCGCACAGGACCGAGGAUGCUGACGGUGCCUCACAGCCACACAG